ensembl:lncRNA
CACAUAGUCAAGGUUAUGACACUGUGGUUUUAUGUUUUCACUUCUGAGUUUCGUUUCCUUUAUGAGGUCCAAGUUAGUCACGAGAGUGUCACUUCUUGCUAAACCUACAAACUGUUUUAGGAUAGAAACUAGUAAAUGUCUUUGUUGCACAAUUAGGAACAUGGAGAUUUUAUCGUCUGAUUCACACAUGCUUCAGAAGAGCAGUUUAAAUGUAGGCCGCAGCAGAGGGACGACGUUGGUUGGUGGAGAUAAACAUCAAUCAAACUGGACGCCCCCCAGGGCGAUACCACCCCCGACUCAACAAUAGGGUGUCUUCAUGCUCCCCCGACCCACGUAAACCCCCGCUAAGCCAUCCAGCCCCCCC